rnacentral:lncRNA from 1 species
CAUCCUUGUGCCUGUAUGGAGCCUUAUCCUGUCUUCCUCUGUAGGUUUUUUGGCCUUCCACUCACAAGGCAGGCAAGAUACAAUCCCCUUUUUCAUCUGCACCCCGACUCCCUGCAGCAAUGAACAAAUACUGUUGCGCCUAAGGCCCACAUUCUCAGAGAUAUGCCAUUCACAGUAUGCUGAACCUUUCUGCUCAAUCAUUAAUCAAGAUAAUGUCCUGCAAACAUAGCCACAGGCCAAUCAGAGGAAGAAUUUGUGAUUUCUCUCCACUGGAGAUGAAAAAUCAGCUGUGAUUAACAAGAGAUCGGAACCACUGAAGCAAAACCUUUGCUUUGCUGGGACAGUGGAUGCUGGUCAGCUGAAGCUGAAGAAUCAGCUAUGAUUAAGAAGAGACCAGCAUCACUGAGCAAAAUACGAGUCCUCCCAAAGAAAGGAGUCAGAUUGUCUCCGUGACAUGAGCACAGAGGUGGAGUGUGUCCAGGGUUUGUUUAGUUUGGAAUUUUAAAGCUCCAUCAAGAAUGCAGGAGGCCUUUUUCUUCUCACUUAUGUUGACAGACUGUUGAUGGCCUUUCACACUAACUUGGUUGGAAGAAGAAGAAGAUGAAGAAAAAAGAAACUUCAGAUGAUCCUAUUUGUGUAAGAAAAAAAAAAAAAAAGUCUUCCAAACAACUCCCUUGUCGCCAGCAUCAACAGCAGCUGAACACGGGCUGAGUUGUUGCACAGUGAGAAUUAUUCCUUUCAUUUCAAAGGCAUCAGAUGUUUGGGGCAAGCAAAAGUCCUGGCUGGUUAAACACGAUCAAAAAUAAACUAGUAUCACAUUUGCUUACGGAACGCGCUGAUUAAAUCUCCCGCUGCAGUCUGAGUACACUGUUUGUUCCUCCAGAAAGGUUUUAAAAGGAGGGAGGUCAGCUCAAAAAUCUAAGCUGAUUUGGAGAGCCUAAGAAGCGUCUGAAGAUCUUCUCUUUCCAGAAUUCCUUUCUUAUGAUGAAACACUGCUGCCAGUGCGCCUGAGCUGUUGAUGACUUAUAAACAGAAGUCAAAGGGAAUUGGAGCUUCUGUCAAGACCCAUUCCAAAUAUAAUAAAAAGAGAGAUGAUUGGAUGUCUCUUCAGGGCUCUGGAUGAGCGCUUUUGUGCUUUGACUGUUCUUUGAACUGGGAUGCAAAGUGCAGUUUCAGGCUCUCAUUUGUUACCUGUCUCAACAGAAAUGUCAGCAGUUUAUGUUUCCAGUAGCUCUUGUCUCAAACCAUAGCUUCCUUCCUGCCUUUCUUUCUUCCUUCCUUCUUUCCUUUCUUUUUUCUUUCUUUCUUUCUUUCUUUCUUUGUUUCUUCCUUUCUUUCCUUCCUUCUUUCUUUCUUCUUUCAAUUCUUUUCUUUCCUUCAAUUCUUUUUCCUUCUUUCUUUCCUUCCUUCCUUCUCUUCUUUUCUUUCAUGCAUUUCUUUCUUUCACCUUUGAAAAAAAGUAGCCCAUAAGAGUACAUCAUCCAGUGUUCUGGGACACAGUAUAGGUUUUAUACUUUGCUAUAUGCAAUUAAGCAUCUUCUCCCUGACAUGUCUGUCCCUGUGCUGUGACCUGUGGGUCUUAACUUUGUCAUUUGUAGAUGGGAACUGAACAGAGUUUACAGUGCCAAAUUACUGUCCCAAGGUUCCUGUGGCACUUGGUUCUUAAGACUUAUUAGCCCUUUCUUUUCUCUUUCUUUUUUUGUUUUGUUUUGUUUUUCAAGACAGGGUUUUUUUUUUUUGUGGCUUUGGAGACUAUCCUGGAACUAGCUCUUGUAGACCAGGCUGGUCUCGAACUCAUAGAGAUGCACCUGCCUCUGCCUCCCGCGUGCUAGGAUUAAAGGUGUGCAUCACCCUCACCUGGUUAUUAGCAGGCCGUCUUAUCCUGUACCUUACAAGACAUUCAGCACCAUCCUUUGCUUCUACCCCCUAGACAGCAAUUGUAUGAUAUUCCUUCCCACACCACUCAGAUGACAAUGGAAACUGUCUCCAUUGUCA